CAAUUUGAAAUUCAUUUGUACACGUGUACACAUUUAAAACUUGCAUUAAAAGUAGAAACACGUUCUAUCGUUUGAUAUAUACGAUAUUUUUGGUCCAUUUCGAAAUUCGAAUUUCAUGAUUUCCAUAACAUUUAUAUUAACUUUUAACAUUAAGAGAUAUUAGAAUAUAUCUAAAAUAAUAUAUUGUUUGACAGGUGUCAGGUGCGAAACGAAUAGCUGAACGCAUACAAAACUUUACUUUUGAUAAAGUUUUGGUUGAACGUUGUGGAUACAUCUUUGAAGAUGGUGACGAUUAUUUAACAACAUUCCCACCAACACUUUGUUUAACAAGAUAUCUUAAAGCUUGAGCAGCUCUUGAAAAUUCUAACAUCUCUCGCACUUUAUUCAAGUAAUAUUCAUUACUUAAGAAAAAAGGUCAAUAAAAUGGUAGAAUGUUAAACGAUUAUUACUAGUAAAUGUUUCUAAAAUUUAUGCCUGUGUCCAGGAAGAACUACUUUGAUAUAUGCAUAUAUGUUCUUAGUUAUCUACCUUUACCAACUUUCCGACAACGUUCUUGGACUACCUUGUGCACGGUAAAAAUUAUAUUCGUAGAUGUUUUGCAGAGUCCUAUAAUUCUAGCUCUUCUGAUAUUGGGUUUCCGUUGAUAAAUUUCUACUUUUCAUUUGUACAAGCAACACCACAAUUGAACCACAUUCGUGCGAACAUAGCCAUGAUUGUUUCAUCCCAUAUAAUUUCAAAAGCUGUCAUAUAGCCGCAAGAGUUAACUACGGAUUCCUAGACGGAUUUCCUACAAGGAUGUUUUUCAAGCUUUCGAAGCACCUGAUAUGGUAACCUUUGAAACUGCGAGAAUAAGACUGUCAUUUUCAGUAUUUCGAACAAGCAUAGAUGAUCUAUAGUUAGUGCCAUUAAUAACAAGUGUUACACCGUAAUAAAACUUUAAUCCUUCCCAUAAAGUAAAUAUUUGCUUUUCGCUCGUUAAAGAUGUAAAUCAGGAACCAACAUUUGAUGCUUGCGGCAGGUGUUUUAUAUUUCUCCAAAGAAUAUAUACAACAACUAUUCACAUUUAGUCUUUCAAUCCAGGAUUAAUCCUCAGCUAGCGCGUACAUAUUUUUGUAGUAUCACAUUAACCCGUCUCGUUUCCUUUGCAAUGUUACACGUCUGUUUAAUAUAAUUGGGUUUCUUGAAUAACAUCAGAUUUUGGAGUUUCUAUUGAACGAGAAUGGCAUGACAGAAAUACACUCUGUUGGAAAUAGUCAGCUGAAGGUAUUAAUCUUUAUAGCUAGUAUAUUAUCCAUUAAUUCAUUUUCCUAAUUUCGUUGUUCGCUCAGAGUACGCACGAAUGAAGAAUACGUAUUGUUCUGCAUGUCGUCCAAGUUAAGGCAGGAGCAAAUGUUUCAGAUUUUGUUGAUAGUGUUUAUAAUGCUUGCUUUCAUCAAUGUUCCACUAAGUCGCUAAAUGGUAGUUGAAUUUCACCGUCAUUUUCCGCAAAUACAGGACAAGAUAGUGAGCAGUGUCACCAGAUACUGUAAUAUGCUUUCAUGAUCAGAGCCGUAAGCAGGAUCAUUUUACCAGGGGGGGGGGGGGCAGUAAGGCCUAUAUGCCGAAAAAAGUCCUAAAUAUCUAAAGAACCAUUAGUAAUGACAGUAAUGACAUUCUAUAAAAAUCUGUAAAUAUAGUUUUCUCUGGGGGAAGCGGUUACCCCCCCCCCCCUGUGUACGGCCCUGUUCAUGAUUAAUAGUUCAAAUGUAUCAUCGAUUUAUCGGAAUGUGAUUCGGUGAAAAUAUUUCCAGAAGUUUUGUGUUCUGAUAUUGCUUGCUUCAUACUGUUCGCCACCAUUGAUUUUUAUCCACGUUGCGGAAUGUUGGAUAAAGUUUAUUAUUUUAUUUUUCACAAAUAUAAAACUCAAUCACUACGUCUGUGUGUCACACACAUAAACAUGCUUAUUCUGUUACAAACUCCAAUAUAUAUGGUGUUUCCAUCUUUCAAAUAAAGUUUAUACAAAUUUGCAUAAAAACUAAGCCACCUUGAAAAUGUUU